AGGAUUCCUUUUAAGACUAAGAUCGGUAGGCAUCUUAUACACCCUAUUAAGCCUAUCAGUGGUAGCCACCUUAUUCAUAUUAGGACGCUAUGAAACCCUAUUAAGCUAAGCCUAUUCCAGGUAGGACCUUAUUUAGGAAUAUUACAGCUUGAAAACGGGCUUCCUUACAAAAAGUCUAAUCACUUUAUUUACUCAUCAGAAGAUCUCUCUGACACUGCAACUAGAGAGGCAAGACCUACUUCUUAUCCAGAGGUUUUCGAAGGAUAGCCAAAUACUUCUUA
rnacentral:lncRNA from 1 species